UCUUGACCUCAGAUCAGGCAAGGCUACCCGCUGAAUUUAAGCAUAUUAAUAAGCGGAGGAAGAGAAACUAACAAGGAUUCCCCCAGUAACGGCGAGUGAAGCGGGAAUAGCUCAAAUUUGAAAUCUCCGACGCUUGCGUCGGCGAGUUGUAGUUGCCAGAAGCACUUUCUAGGCGGAUCGACCGUGCCUAAGUUGCUUGGAACAGCACGUCGCAGAGGGUGACACCCCGUCUGUGCGCGUCGGCCGCUCACGAUGUUGUUUCGAGAGUCGUUGCUUGACGUGCCCCCACAACACAAACGACUUCGAAACCAUGGGGGGCGCGACGCGCCAGACGGGUGGUACUUGCACUGUGUCCAGCACUUAGCAGGUCGAAUCCCCCAAAGAGGUCUCUGG
rnacentral:rRNA from 1 species